GGUUAUCAACACUCUCAUCACUCUUAUUUACUCCAUUUUCAACUAAAUGAUGGAAAAAAUUAUUUUAAAGAAGUGUUAAAUCCGUUUGUUUACACUCACUCCGACCGCCGGUAGCUUCGUCCAACUGUCGAACACACAGAUACUAGAACAAAAAUGUCACGAAACCUUCAUCGAUUCGAAUGGCGAAAACGAUACCAUUGUUUCUCCCGCUCGACUCGAGUGCUUCCGACGGAAUCAAAUGUCAUUCGAGUAAAAUAAUAGGCCUGUUUGUCUUUCUGCGUUAUACGUAUCGAUAACGCAUGUGGUGUUAGUGUUCCGAUCGUGUGCGAUACCAAUGCUGUUGUGGGCAACCGUGCCGACCCCUGGACUUGUCGUGGCAGUUGCGCUGCCACCGGUCAACGUCCAAGAGAACGACAGGGUGUCACGCACACUGUCGCACACACUAAGCAGCGCAAGGCUUACUGUGUGCCGAGCGCCGCACGAUUAGAGUGUGUUAGCGAGCCGAUCGAGCAGGAGCUCUCGGCAGGGACGCUAGACUUGUAAAUUUUAAAGUGUUUAGUGUUUACUGUGUGUGUCAAUUAUGUUUUAUUUAUUAUUGUACGUCUCAUUAGUGUGGCGCUAAAGUAUUAAGUGACCUUAAGACCUUAAGACACAACAAAUGCGUAACCUUAACGGCCAAGCUACACGUACCGGACGACAUCGGACGAUGCCAUAAAACGUAGGACCGCAGACAAGAGAUUCGCGUUGGGCCGGGCCGUGUCGGAUCACAGCGGGCCGAUUUUGUAUGGGAUUUGACAGUUGGCGUUAACGGAUUUAUUGCAUCGUCCGAUGUCGUCCGGUACGUGUAGCUUGGCCGUAAGACACAACAAAUGAGUACGAAAACGGCGCUGUGUCCCGGUCGGUCGUUCCCCGCCAUGCAAUUGACAGCGAUUUGCGAGGGCGUGCGAGGGCUCGCACGCUAUACAAGUUCACAGCCCCAGAGCCCUCGCAUUAAAGAGCAUGCGAGCCUAGGAAGUUUUUUUCGCCCCUUGUUUUGGCAGUUAUAAUUAUAGCACCCCGAGAGCAGGUAUAACAGUGUGACUUUUAGCAAACAGAACACCAAAAUUUUGACAUAUUAUUUUGCAAAAAUCCACAAAAAUUGAUUGAAGUGAUCUUUUCGACGAACAACACCGCAAAUAAAAAUAUAUUAAUAAAAAAUAAACAUUAGCUGGCAUCGCGAAAGAAUUGGUUUAAAAUUAACAGUCGUUAAAAAUUGCUAGAAUUUGGCAUCGCGAACGCAUUGACUUCAUUUGUUAAUUUUAACGACUGGUCCUAUGCCGCCGUUAAACAAACGACUGUCAAGAGCGUAAGCGAUACAAAUCAACAGUCGUUUAAUUAUACCGCUCGAUUUUUUUCUCAGUGUUUGCCUAUAUGCGAUAUCGAGCAGUCGUUAACUGUUUUGACGAUCGUUUAUUUUAACAGUAAUUAACAACAAAUGAACUCAGUUAAACCAAAAUGAACUUUAAACGACUGUUAAAAAGAGUUCAUUUAUUCACGAUGCUGGCUAUUGUUUUCAAAUACCAUAAGAUUUCGAGCAGAUCCCAAGUAGCAACCGAAGCUUUUUUCUCCCAGUUUCAACCCCCUCAUGUCCACAAACUGCCUUCGCUUACUAUUCCUAUCUCAUUUCUACAUUCCACAACGUUUGUUGCGUUCUCGCUCAUCAGGGUGUUAGUCAAUUCUCUCUUGCCACACGAAGAGAAUUCUCCUGCACACUUCGUGUGUUGGAUUCUACCCAUCCCUGAUGAACACACGUCAUUUUAUUCCAUCGCACUCAUCAGGGUGUUUGCUCUUUUCCAUCCAAGCCAAAGAGCGACUUCAGUGUGCUCUGAACCGUGGAUGUGAGAGUGUGUGUUUGUGUGCUGCGUGAACUAUUUUUCCUGCGUGAAACACUUUCCAUACUGCGCCAUCCGCGGUGUUCUUUCUGCUUCAUCGGAGGACGAAUUUUUAUCAUCUAAUUGUUUGGUUUCAGAUGUGUGCUGCUACCGCUAGCUGUUCCUCAAACUACUUAAAAAGUGUGACACUGUGUGCACAGGCGUUCAAGUUUCAAUUGAUCCUCAAGCACAAAGCCUUCAUACAACACCGCGGUUGAGGUGCACCAAAUCUGAUGACAUCUUUCCUGAACCAAGCAGGCUGAACACGCGCACCACCACGGGCUCCAGCGCGGUGUGAAGAGGGAAG